rnacentral:rRNA from 1 species
UACGUAGGCAGCGAGCGUUGUUCGGAGUUACUGGCGUAAAGCGUGCGUAGGCGGUGUCUUAAGUUUGUUGUGAAAUCUCCCGGCUUAACCGGGAGGGUGCGGCGAAUACUGAGAUGCUGGAGUGCCGGAGAGGUAAGCGGAAUUCCUGGUGUAGCGGUGAAAUGCGUAGAUAUCAGGAGGAACACCUGCGGUGUAGACGGCUUACGUGGACGGUAACUGACGCUGAGGCACGAAAGCGUGGGUAGCAAACAGG